CAACCCUCAAGCCCCUCCGGGGACUUGGCGUUGGGAAUCGGCCCCACUCACGGGGCCGGCCCCGAAAUUCAGUGGCGGUCUCGCCGCUGCCUCCUCUGCGUAGUAGAAUACACCUCGCACUGGGAAGCGGCGCGGCCACGCCCCUCUCUGUUCAUCAGACAUCUUCAA
rnacentral:misc_RNA from 1 species